UCGGCCCGAGUUGUAAUUUGUAGAGGAUGCUUUUGGUGAGGUGCCUUCUGAGUUCCCUGGAACGGGACGCCAGAGAGGGUGAGAGCCCCGUAUAGUCGGCCACCGAUCCUUUGUAAAGCUCCUUCGACGAGUCGAGUAGUUUGGGAAUGCUGCUCAAAAUGGGAGGUAUAUCUCUUCUAAAGCUAAAUAUAGGCCAGAGACCGAUAGCGCACAAGUAGAGUGAUCGAAAGAUGAAAAGCACUUUGAAAAGAGGGUUAAAUAGCACGUGAAAUUGUUGAAAGGGAAGCGCUUGUGACCAGACUUGUGCCGGGCUGAUCAUCCAGUGUUCUCACUGGUGCACUCGACCCGGCUCAGGCCAGCGUCGGUUUUCGUGGGGGGAUAAAAGCUUCGGGAACGUGGCACCUUCGGG
rnacentral:rRNA from 1 species